UGAGGAAUUUUGCGCAAUGGGGGGAACCCUGACGCAGCAACGCCGCGUGGGUGAUGAAGGCCUUCGGGUCGUAAAGCCCUGUCGGGCGGGAAGAACGUCCCUUCGGGGAAUGACGGUACCGCCAGAGGAAGCACCGGCUAACUCCGUGCCAGCAGCCGCGGUAAUACGGAGGGUGCAAGCGUUAUUCGGAAUUACUGGGCGUAAAGGGCGUGCAGGCGGGAGAGCAAGUCUGAUGUGAAAGCCCGGGGCUUAACCCCGGAAGGGCAUUGGAAACUGCUUUGCUUGAGUACUGUAGAGGAAGGGGGAAUUCCCGGUGUAGAGGUGAAAUUCGUAGAGAUCGGGAGGAACAUCAGUGGCGAAGGCGCCCUUCUGGACAGCAACUGACGCUGAGACGCGAAAGCGUGGGGAGCAAACA
rnacentral:rRNA from 1 species